UACGAAGGGGGCUAGCGUUGCUCGGAGUUACUGGGCGUAAAGGGCGCGUCGGCGGUCCUGUCAGUCAGGCGUGAAAGCCCAGGGCUCAACCCUGGAACUGCGCUUGAUACUGCGGGUCUAGAGUGCCGGAGAGGAUGGUGGAAUUCCCAGUGUAGAGGUGAAAUUCGUAGAUAUUGGGAAGAACACCGGUGGCGAAGGCGGCCAUCUGGACGGCAACUGACGCUGAGGCGCGAAAGCGUGGGGAGCAAACAGG
rnacentral:rRNA from 1 species